GUGGGGAAUUUUGGACAAUGGGCGCAAGCCUGAUCCAGCAAUGCCGCGUGCAGGAAGAAGGCCUUCGGGUUGUAAACUGCUUUUGUACGGAACGAAACGGUCCUGGCUAAUAUCCGGGGCUAAUGACGGUACCGUAAGAAUAAGCACCGGCUAACUACGUGCCAGCAGCCGCGGUAAUACGUAGGGUGCGAGCGUUAAUCGGAAUUACUGGGGGUAAAGCGUGCGCAGGCGGUGCUGUAAGACAGGCGUGAAAUCCCCGGGCUCAACCUGGGAAUUGCGCUUGUGACUGCAGUGCUGGAGUGCGGCAGAGGGGGAUGGAAUUCCGCGUGUAGCAGUGAAAUGCGUAGAUAUGCGGAGGAACACCGAUGGCGAAGGCAAUCCCCUGGGCCUGCACUGACGCUCAUGCACGAAAGCGUGGGGAGCAAACAGGAUUAGAUACCCCUGUAGUCC
rnacentral:rRNA from 1 species